UGCAGUGUGGCGUAGUGGUAAGGCACAGGCCUUAUGACCAAAAGGUUGCUGGUUCAACUCCCUGCUAGGGCAG